rnacentral:rRNA from 1 species
UACGUAGGGGGCAAGCGUUGUUCGGAAUUACUGGGCGUAAAGGGCGCGUAGGCGGCACGGCAAGUCAGGAGUGAAAAGCCCGUGGGCUCAACCCGGGAACUGGCUUUUGAAACUGACCGAGCUAGAGUGCGGAAGGGGCAACUGGAAUUCCCAGUGUAGCGGUGAAAUGCGUAGAUAUUGGGAAGAACACCUGAGGCGAAGGCGGGUUGCUGGGCCGACACUGACGCUGAGGCGC